rnacentral:rRNA from 1 species
UACAGAGGGGGCAAGCGUUAUUCGGAAUUAUUGGGCGUAAAGGGCGCGUAGGCGGCUUUGCAAGUGACGGGUGAAAUCCCUCGGCUUAACCGAGGAACUGCCUGUCAGACUGUGAGGCUUGAGACCGGGAGAGGUGAGUGGAAUUCCCAGUGUAGCGGUGAAAUGCGUAGAUAUUGGGAGGAACACCAGUGGCGAAGGCGGCUCACUGGACCGGAACUGACGCUGAGGCGCGAAAGCGUGGGGAGCGAACAGG